UACGUAGGGUGCGAGCGUUGUCCGGAAUUAUUGGGCGUAAAGGGCUCGUAGGCGGUCUGUUGCGUCAGGAGUGAAAACUCGGGGCUUAACCCCGAGCCUGCUUCUGAUACGGGCAGACUAGAGGUAUGCAGGGGAGAACGGAAUUCCUGGUGUAGCGGUGAAAUGCGCAGAUAUCGUUUGGAACGCCAAUGGUGAAAACAAGUAGCUGGGGAUGUGCCGACGCUGAGACACGAAAGCCAGGGGAGCGAACGGG
rnacentral:rRNA from 1 species